UAGGGAAUCUUCGGCAAUGGACGAAAGUCUGACCGAGCAACGCCGCGUGAGUGAAGAAGGUUUUCGGAUCGUAAAACUCUGUUGUUAGAGAAGAACAAGGACGUUAGUAACUGAACGUCCCCUGACGGUAUCUAACCAGAAAGCCACGCCUAACUACGUGCCAGCAGCCGCGGUAAUACGUAGGUGGCAAGCGUUGUCCGGAUUUAUUGGGCGUAAAGCGAGCGCAGGCGGUUUCUUAAGUCUGAUGUGAAAGCCCCCGGCUCAACCGGGGAGGGUCAUUGGAAACUGGGAGACUUGAGUGCGGAAGAGGAGAGUGGAAUUCCAUGUGUAGCGGUGAAAUGCGUAGAUAUAUAGAGGAACACCAGUGGCGAAGGCGGCUCUCUGGUCUGUAACUGACGCUGAGGCUCGAAAGCGUGGGGAGCAAACAGG
rnacentral:rRNA from 1 species